rnacentral:rRNA from 1 species
UACGGGGGGGGCAAGCGUUGUUCGGAAUUACUGGGCGUAAAGGGCGCGUAGGCGGCCCUCUAAGUCAGACGUGAAAUCCCUCGGCUCAACCGGGGAACUGCGUCUGAUACUGGAGGGCUUGAAUCCGGGAGAGGGAUGUGGAAUUCCAGGUGUAGCGGUGAAAUGCGUAGAUAUCUGGAGGAACACCCGUGGCUAAGGCGGCUCUCUAGUACGGUACUGACGCUGAGACGCGAAAGCGUGGGGAGCGAACAGG